rnacentral:rRNA from 1 species
AUUGAACGCUGGCGGAAUGCUUUACACAUGCAAGUCGAACGGCAGCACGGACUUCGGUCUGGUGGCGAGUGGCGAACGGGUGAGUAAUGUAUCGGAACGUGCCCAGUCGUGGGGGAUAACGUAGUGAAAAUUACGCCAAUACCGCAUACGAUCUAUGGAUGAAAGCGGGGGAUCGCAAGACCUCGCGCGAUUGGAGCGGCCGAUAUCAGAUUAGGUAGUUGGUGGGGUAAAGGCCCACCAAGCCAACGAUCUGUAGCUGGUCUGAGAGGACGACCAGCCACACUGGAACUGAGGCACGGUCCAGACUCCUACGGGAGGCAGCAGUGGGGAAUUUUGGACAAUGGGCGAAAGCCUGAUCCAGCCAUUCCGCGUGCAGGAUGAAGGCCCUCGGGUUGUAAACUGCUUUUGCACAGAAGGAAAAGGUUUCUACUAAUACUAGGAGCUCAUGACGGUACUGUAAGAAUAAGCACCGGCUAACUACGUGCCAGCCGCCGCCGUAA